UGCAAGUCGAGCGAACUUGCGGGAGCUUGCUCCCGAAGUUAGCGGCGGACGGGUGAGUAACACGUGGGCAACCUGCCUGUAAGACUGGGAUAACUUCCGGAAACCGGAGCUAAUACCGGAUAAUUCUUUUCUGCUCAUGCAGAGAAGCUGAAAGAUGGUUUCGGCUAUCACUUAUCCAUGGGCCCGCGGCGCAUUAGCUAGUUGGUGAGGUAACGGCUCACCCAGGGAACCAUGCGUAGCCGACCUGAGAGGGUGAUCGGCCACACUGGGACUGAAACACGGCCCAGACUCCUACGGGAGGCAGCAGUAGGGAAUCUUCCCCAAUGGACGAAAGUCUGACGGAACAACGCCGCGUGAGUGAUGAAGGUUUUCGGAUCGUAAAACUCUGUUGUUAGGGAAGAACAAGUACCGGAGUAACUGCCGGUACCUUGACGGUACCUAACCAGAAUGCCACGGCUAACUACAGGCCAGCAGCCCCGGUAAUACGUAGGUGGCAAGCGUUGUCCGUGAAUUAUUGGGCGUAAAGCGCGCGCAGGCCGUUCCUUAAUUCUGAUGUGAAAGCCCCCGGCCUCCACCACGGGACGGGCAUUGGGAAACUGGGGGAUUUGGAUUGGCAAAAA
rnacentral:rRNA from 1 species